rnacentral:rRNA from 1 species
AUUGAACGCUGGCGGCAUGCCUUACACAUGCAAGUCGAACGGCAGCACGGGUGCUUGCACCUGGUGGCGAGUGGCGAACGGGUGAGUAAUACAUCGGAACAUGUCCUGUAGUGGGGGAUAGCCCGGCGAAAGCCGGAUUAAUACCGCAUACGAUCUACGGAUGAAAGCGGGGGACCUUCGGGCCUCGCGCUAUAGGGUUGGCCGAUGGCUGAUUAGCUAGUUGGUGGGGUAAAGGCCUACCAAGGCGACGAUCAGUAGCUGGUCUGAGAGGACGACCAGCCACACUGGGACUGAGACACGGCCCAGACUCCUACGGGAGGCAGCAGUGGGGAAUUUUGGACAAUGGGCGAAAGCCUGAUCCAGCAAUGCCGCGUGUGUGAAGAAGGCCUUCGGGUUGUAAAGCACUUUUGUCCGGAAAGAAAUCCUUGGCCCUAAUACGGUCGGGGGGUGACGGUACCGGAAGAAUAAGCACCGGCUAACUACGUG